rnacentral:rRNA from 1 species
UACGAAGGGGGCUAGCGUUGUUCGGAAUCGCUGGGCGUAAAGCGCACGUAGGCGGAUUUUUAAGUCAGGGGUGAAAUCCCGGGGCUCAACCCUCGGAACUGCCUUUGAUACUGGAGAUCUUGAGUCCGGAAGAGGUAAGUGGAACUGCGAGUGUAGAGGUGGAAAUUCGUAGAUAUUCGCAAGAACACCAGUGGCGAAGGCGGCUUACUGGUCCGGAACUGACGCUGAGGUGCGAAAGCGUGGGGAGCAAACAGG